rnacentral:rRNA from 1 species
UACGGAGGGUGCUAGCGUUGUUCGGAAUUACUGGGCGUAAAGCGUGCGUAGGUGGUGUGUUAAGUCUGUCGUGAAAGCCCCGGGCUCAACCUGGGAAUGGCGAUGGAUACUGGCUCGCUAGAGUGCGGUAGAGGAGAGUGGAAUUCCCGGUGUAGCAGUGAAAUGCGUAGAGAUCGGGAGGAACAUCAGUUGCGAAGGCGGCUCUCUGGACCAGCACUGACACUGAGGCACGAAAGCGUGGGGAGCAAACAGG